AUUGCUUCUUAGUCUUUUGGCUAAGAUCAAGUGUCGUAUGGUGUUCUUAUCAGUUUAAUAUCUGAUACAUCCUUUAUCCGAGGAAAUACAUUAAAUGGAUUUUUGGAGCAGGGAGAUGGAAUAAGGGCUUGCUCUGUCCACUCCGUGCAUCGACUUGGUUUUGCAGUACCUCCAGGAAUGGUGCAAAGAAA
rnacentral:snRNA from 1 species